rnacentral:tRNA from 1 species
CAGGUAGCUCAGUUGGUAGAGCAGCGGACUGAAAAUCCGCGUGUCGCUGGUUCGAUUCCGGCCGGA